rnacentral:lncRNA from 1 species
UUUAAUCAACAACCCGGGCCAGUGCUCCUCAUGAGUGUUGGCCCCACCUGAGCGAUGUCCGGGGCCCCACUGGUCACCCAGAGGUUUAGCCAUCCCGACAUCUAGCUCAUCUGUCGUGUCCUGAGACUGAGAUACGCGGCUCUUAUCAGGGUUGUCGACACGACGGGAGGUCCUGCUAGCCUUGUCUUACCUUAGCGGUAUAUCUUGCGUAUAGGAAUCCCAGUGAAGCUUUGGUUUCCCC